GUGCAGGGGGAAACGGUUUUAGUGACGUGGCAACUCUGACUGGAAGUCUGGAACGCUUCCUACCUACAACUCAAGUUCAGAACUUCAGAUUCCAGAACUGCAGACUGCACUUUCACUACUCCAACUCCACCAAACCUGUAACCUUAUCCAUCGGAACAUCAUCGUCGGGAUAAUUUCGGGGAACUCCUAAAAUAAAGAAAACCUUCAACAGGCCUUUGGACUGCAUUCUUCUACCAAACCCUGUACUAAUUUUACUAUCCUUUGAAAUUUGUAAUGUCAGCGCCUGGGAAGCUUCAGGAAACUUCAAAAAUAAAAGUGUACUUCAUAAACAGUGCUUACAGUUCACGUUAUACAGCAAAGGAAACUUAAUUGAUUACAAACCAAGAGCAGCAUUACUUCAAGUUACUAGAGGAAAGAUGUCAACAAGAGAGGUACAACAAAAGCAGGUAACGUUUGGUGUUUCUAAAGGAGAGAGAAGUCUAAAAAGUGGCACCAUUGAACACUAUUUUCCUUGCAUCGCGUUCAUUUUCUCUUAUUUUUUUUUUUUUUUUUUUUUUUUUUUUUUUUUUU